rnacentral:rRNA from 1 species
CCCAGCUUGCUGGUGCUCGAGUGGCGAACGGGUGAGUAACACGUGGGUGAUCUGCCCCUGACUUUGGGAUAAGCCUGGGAAACUGGGUCUAAUACCGGAUAUGACCUUACGUUGCAUGACGUUUGGUGGAAAGCCUUGUGCGGUUGGGGAUGGGCCCGCGGCCUAUCAGCUUGUUGGUGGGGUAAUGGCCUACCAAGGCGACGACGGGUAGCCGACCUGAGAGGGUGAUCGGCCACACUGGGACUGAGACACGGCCCAGACUCCUACGGGAGGCAGCAGUGGGGAAUAUUGCACAAUGGGCGCAAGCCUGAUGCAGCGACGCCGCGUGAGGGAUGACGGCCUUCGGGUUGUAAACCUCUUUCACCAGGGACGAAGCUUAAGUGACGGUACCUGGAGAAGAAGCACCGGCCAACUACGUGCCAGCAGCCGCGGUAAUACGUAGGGUGCGAGCGUUGUCCGGAAUUACUGGGCGUAAAGAGCUCGUAGGCGGUUUGUCGCGUCGUCUGUGAAAUUCUGCAGCUUAACUGCAGGCGUGCAGGCGAUACGGGCAGACUUGAGUACUACAGGGGAGACUGGAAUUCCUGGUGUAGCGGUGAAAUGCGCAGAUAUCAGGAGGAACACCGGUGGCGAAGGCGGGUCUCUGGGUAGUAACUGACGCUGAGGAGCGAAAGCGUGGGUAGCGAACAGGAUUAGAUACCCUGGUAGUCCACGCCGUAAACGGUGGGUACUAGGUGUGGGGCUCAUUUCACGAGUUCCGUGCCGUAGCUAACGCAUUAAGUACCCCGCCUGGGGAGUACGGCCGCAAGGCUAAAACUCAAAGGAAUUGACGGGGGCCCGCACAAGCGGCGGAGCAUGUGGAUUAAUUCGAUGCAACGCGAAGAAACCUUACCUGGGUUUGACAUACCACCAGAAUGCGGCUAAAAGAUAGUCGUUCCCUUGGUGGUUGGUGGUAACAGGGUGGGUGCAUGGGCUGUUCGUCAGCUUCGUGGUCGUUGAAGAUGGUUGGGGUUAAGUCCCCGCAAACGGAAGCCGCCAACCCUUUGUUCCCUUGUAUUUGCCCAGCCGGGGUAUAUGGCCGGGGACACUUUGCAAGGAAGACUGGCCCGGGGUUCAACUCUC